rnacentral:rRNA from 1 species
UACAGAGGUCUCAAGCGUUGUUCGGAUUCAUUGGGCGUAAAGGGCGCGUAGGCGGCGGGGUAAGUCGGGUGUGAAAUCUCCGAGCUUAACUUGGAAACUGCCAUUGAUACUAUUCGUCUUGAAUUCUGUUGAGGUGGGCGGAAUAUGUCAUGUAGCGGUGAAAUGCAUAGAUAUGACAUAGAACACCGAUUGCGAAGGCAGCUCACUAAGCAGACAUUGACGCUGAGGCACGAAAGCGUGGGGAUCAAACAGG